CUGCGUCUUCAGUUGCCACCGUUCUUAUUUGAGAACGAGCACAUUGAAGAGACUGCAUUCGAAAGGAUGAGGAAGGUGCAGGCUACGGUACGUCUGUAUGCCCCGAAUGUCCUGGGCUACACGCGACAUACACUGGUUGAAACAGCGGGCUGCGACUCCGAGAGGAGAAGCCAAUCCCUUAAAGUCAAUCUGGUUCGGAUCGAGGACUGCAACUCGUCCUCGUGAAGCCGAAAUCCCUAGUAAUCGUAUAUUAGCAUUGUACGGUGAAUACGUCCCUGGCCCUUGCACUCACUGCCUGUCAAGUCAACCGAGCAGGGUUAUGGUGAGGAUUUGUUUUCGGGCAGAUUCAAAUCAUAGCUCAGUGAGGCGGAUUAAGUCAACACAAGGUACCUGUAGGGGAACCUGCAGGUGGAUCACCUCCU
rnacentral:rRNA from 1 species